AGCCGUUCCGAGGGGUGCUCCGAGGAGGAGCUGAGAUACCGCUAAAUGGGCAAAGCUUGCAAAUCGGCAGGCCUUCCCAGGACCGCGGUGACCCUUUGAACCUGAUCCGGGUCAUGCCGGCGAAGGGACAGGGAUGUUGCAGACGA
rnacentral:ncRNA from 2 species